AGUGAACGCUGGCGGUAGGCCUAACACAUGCAAGUCGAACGGCAGCACAGUAAGAGCUUGCUCUUACGGGUGGCGAGUGGCGGACGGGUGAGGAAUACAUCGGAAUCUACUUUUUCGUGGGGGAUAACGUAGGGAAACUUACGCUAAUACCGCAUACGACCUACGGGUGAAAGCAGGGGAUCUUCGGACCUUGCGCGAUUGAAUGAGCCGAUGUCGGGUUAGCUGGGUGGCGGGGUAAAGGCCCACCGAGGCGACGAUCCGUAGCUGGUCUGAGAGGAUGAUCAGCCACACUGGGACUGAGACACGGUCCCGACUCCUACGGGAGGGAGCAGUGGGGAAUAUUGGACAAUGGGCGAAAGCCUGAUCCAGCCCUGCCGGGUGGGGGAAGAAGGGCUUCGGGGUGGAAAGCCCUUUUUGUUGGGAAGAAAGGCAGUAAGUUAAUACCCCGCUGUUUUGACGGUACCCAAAGAAAAAGCACCGGCUAACUUCGUG
rnacentral:rRNA from 1 species